CACUACGGCCAUGCUGUGCUGAACAUGCCUGAUCCCGCCUGAUCUUGGAAGCUAAACAGGGUUGGGCCUGGUUAGUACUUGGAUGGGAGACCACCUAGGAAUACCAGGUGCUGUAGGUA
rnacentral:rRNA from 1 species